GCAGAGCUGAGCUGCAAGCUGGGAACUCACAUUUCCUUUCAGGAAGGGGCAGCACUGACCCCUCUGCAGCUCCCUGGCAAAGCAGUGCUCUGGCUCCAAACACAUCCACAUCUCCCUUCUCAGCUUGCUUUCUAUAUUUUUUUAAAAUUUGUUUUUCCUGCUGGAAGACAAGGAGGAUUAGCUAAACCUAUAGCUUAAAUAUUAUAAUUAAUUGGCGUUUUUUGAUUUUUUUUGUGUGCCUUCUGCUGCUAUGCUAAAAGUGAGUUUUCUUUGUGUGAGAGAGCCUUUGUUUGCCUGAAGCAGGCUUUUCCCACCCCUGCAUAAAUAGCACUUUGAAAAAUUGCAUCACAAAACCCACAGCACUGGGAUUUUAGAAGAAGAGCCUGAAUGGCUGGAAACUUCACAUAGCUCUGCAGCUGGGAGAGUGUGGCUUUCAUCUGACAAGCUCUUUAAGGAUGGUUUGACCUCUCUCUUCCUUUACAUGCUGGGAGUUAACUUCUCCUCAGCAGCUUCUGCCUGCGAUGUCCCAGCUCUCCUCAUGGGUGACAGUGACACCAGAUGGCAGCAGUGGCCUUCGGAUCCAGCUCUGGGUGAAGAUGCUGGCAAAGGUUUCUCUGCAUCCCAGCUUUUUCGAGGACAGCUUCCCUCUGUGCUUUCCUUCAGCUCAAUCAGCUCCUGCACGGGCUCUCAAAAUGAAAUUGCACCGAGUAUCUACAUGCUGUAGUUAUUUAAUGUGUCAAAAUGACACACGGAGGCCAGCUUAGAAAGUCAAGAAAGAGAAUUCCUAUCUUCAGAGAUGUACCUGUGUACAGAUCUGGAGGUGUGACUGCAGUCUGCAACAGGACAAGGCUUCUUGUGGCCUCAGGAAAGAUGGUAAUGAUCAUGAACGUGGAAACCCUAAAUCUGAGUCACGAUAACAGAUGGAAGAAUGGGGCUGCUCCUGACCAUCCCCAUUCCACACAGUGGAAUAUUUGCCCUCCUGAAGUCCCAUCAUUUAUAAAACUUGUUCCAUUUUGGCUGGGAUCAGGCCCUUCAUUUUUCGAGAGUCUUUUAUUGAGCAUUAAAGACUCAGAAAGGCUAUAUUAUGUUGAUGCAAUUAAAGGAGGUUACUUGAAACUAUUUUAUCACUGUAACACUCGUAGAAAUUAUUGUGCUUGUGUGGCUUUGUGCUGGCACUCUGGAGCAAUGUGUAUGGAAUAGCAGUAACCUCGUCCCUGAAUAAUUCAUGUUGUUUGUCAGCCACUUCUUAAGCCUUUCUGCUUAACCACAGAAGAUUAGCAUUUUUGUUGCCUUUUUUUUUAAUCAAAGGUUUGGGGUGGGGGGAAGGGAGAGUGUCAGUUUUCUUUUUAACUUACUUUAAAUACUUCCCCAGGCUUUCAGUAGGAACCAUAAUAAUUCAAACUGGGAUAUUUUAGUCUUAGAAGUAUUUUAGCUGGCUCUUAGUCCUGCUACAUUAUACAACUUUCUGGUAAAUCAUGAAUAAGCUGAAAGGCUACAGAGCUUUUUUUCCUAAUUUCUCAAGGGUCCUUUUACUACCUAAUUUGUUUUCAUCCUAUGUUAUUUACUGACUAACUCUAAUCAACAUUUCUGGUAUUGUUCCAGUCCACAAGUGUGGGAAGGUUUGGCAGGUAAUGUGUGGCAGUGCAGGGAGGCUGAAAGAUCCUGGCCUUGAAAUGAAUAUUGCUGGUUGGAAAUUGGACUGCAUUCAUUACAUGCUGCUGUUCUCCUGAGCUUUUUCUUCGAUUAAGGAUGCUUCACUGCUGUAAAACAGCAAAGUUAGGCUCUGAAGUGAUGCUGAGCUGCACAGUUGUAGUUCAGAAAUACUCAGCCUCAAAAUCAACAGAAUGGAGGUAAAAGUCAAGGGUCUGGCUCAGAGAAAAGUGAAGGGGAAAUGCCAGCCUGGGCAAAUACAGA